UUGCCAAGCCGCGGUAAUACGUAGGUGGCAAGCGUUGUCCGGAAUUAUUGGGCGUAAAGCGCGCGCAGGCGGUUUCUUAAGUCUGAUGUGAAAGCCCCCGGCUCAACCGGGGAGGGUCAUUGGAAACUGGGGAACUUGAGUGCAGAAGAGGAGAGUGGAAUUCCACGUGUAGCGGUGAAAUGCGUAGAGAUGUGGAGGAACACCAGUGGCGAAGGCGACUCUCUGGUCUGUAACUGACGCUGAGGCGCGAAAGCGUGGGGAGCGAACAGGAUUAGAUACCCUGGUAGUCC
rnacentral:rRNA from 1 species